UUUUUUUUUUUUACCGUGCCUAGUUAUUACACAGGGAGGUUUUGUGCUGGGAAGAAUGUAGCCGUAGGGUGGACUCAGAAGCACCAUCCAAAGCGCUGUGCCUAGGGAAGAUGGAUGAGAUUGGGGAGUUGUUUAGUGGGCGGGUCUCUCUCCCAACUACAGUGUCCAGGGUAUUGUGAACACACUGCAUAUCCUCAUCUAAACAGUGAUCCUAAAUCUGGAGGUGAUGAAUGAGUGAACUCUGCUCUUCGGUGUCCAGGAGAGCCCUAUUCCUUGUGCUCUUUGGGGAGAUGCAUGAAAAAGGUGACCGGACAAGGUGUUAAGCUGAAUGUUGAAGACAGAAUGGGAUGAAGAAGUGGGACCUACGCUGUCUGCUCAGUACGUGGCCCAACAGAACAAUCCCUUGUUUACCGCUCCGGCAACUCUUCUUGUUUGACCCCACUUUCUGGAAACUUAACUUUCACAUUAGGUUUUAGCUUUUACAACUCUCACUCUCUUUCAACCUUGCCUCCCCGAUAGGCUUUUGUGUCCUGUUUCACUCAUAGCUGCUUUUAAACUGAACUAAUUCAAUCUGUUAAAAAAAAAAAA
rnacentral:lncRNA from 1 species